rnacentral:lncRNA from 1 species
GUUUCAGAGGAUCACGUUGCUAUACCAAUAGAUAAGAAGUGGCUUCCAUUUGAUCACUAUUAGAUGAAAGGAUCGAGCAUUUGCUGAUGUCAUGGACAGCCUUAUCGACACUAUAUGAAUCAUCUCUGAGGAUAGAUGACUUCACACUGUGCCAUCAAUAGAUGAUCCGAGUUCCUCAUCAUAUAGCCAGCAUACCUCAUAUCAUGGCUUCUCCAACUUUGAUCUCCUCAUAGAUGAUGCAUUUAUGUUAUAGAGGAUGAGUGAGUCGGGAGACACGUCACAUUGACCCGAUGAGCAGCACAUCGAUCCUACACAUGGGAGGGCCAGAGACAAGGCUAGAUUGAGGGUUUUCUGAGGUAGACAUCUGGCACAUAUUGAUAAGCUGAGCACGACAGCACCUCCCUCCCCAUCGGUCGAUACCAUGCCUGAGCUAUCACAACAACGGUCAGAGGUGACAUGCGUCUACGAGAGGUGGAUGCGAAGGAGGCUCCAUUACCUUAGCAUAUACGCCUCUUGAUAGUUAUAAUAGUUGUACAUAUUUCUUUUUGUUAACAAACUUUAUAAUGAUCAACUAUUGGUUUGUAUUAUUUUGAAAUUAAUAUUACAAGUUUUUCUUAUCUGGAUG